CUUCUCCACCCUACAUCAGACAAAUUCCUUCUUACUUUUCGAUGCCCAAAACCUUUAAUAUAUGUACCGGCCCGAGUCUUGUGUUGUGGCGACGACUCCCAGUCCUUUUGCUCAGUUGUCAAUUUGUUCCCCAUCUCGAAUCGACUCAGUGUUUACUCGUUCACUUACAAAACAACAAUGGCUACAAAUGUUCAUUUCAUGAGUCAUAUGAUAUUCAGUCGCACCAUGAUCACGCCCUUAUAAAAAAAAUCAUUAACACCUUGCACCUCAAUCUUUUAGUUUCAUUUGUGUUCAACAAGCACAUACUCCUCACUGGCUCAUCAGGUACAUUUGUGAGAAGAAUGACUAUUCAACUCCGAGUAAAUGGACCCAGAGGAGAGGAAAAGGUCAUCGAUGUGUGCGAAAAUGAAGAGGAUUUAAAGAAGAUGACUGUCAAGCAGCUGAGAGAGAAGAUUGUUCGAGAACUAGAGAUAAGCGUUUCCGUUCAGAACUGUUGUAAGCACAGAAGCGAUUGCUGGUCUGCAGACGGCCCAUAACUCGGACACAGAGGUAUGGUGGUCUGUCUUGGGGCAACACCACUCGGACAACAAAGCAAACCGCAGGUGGGACAGACCCGGACGGAGGGGCAGCCAGCGACCCCCCUCACGGAUUCAAAGGUGAUGUCUGGGCAGGUGUUCAGUAUUUCCUGCUGCUUAUUGAUGCAGCCUUCAUUUGCACAGCGGUCUGGAUAGGGAGAUGGACCUUUCCAUUCCUCCAAACACUGCCAGCAGAAGGAAAAGGCCACGUUGGUUUUAGCGGUGCACAUCACGCAGCAGACCCUCAGGUUGUUUACGUCGCUCCGCACAACAGAGCACUUGCAGCCGGGACACUGUGAGGUGAAGGGAGUUGAAAAAUAUCAACAAGCAAUUUGGUUUUCCAAGAAUAUUUAAGUUUUAUUAGUUUAGAUACUUACUGAUUUGAAGUCCAAGAAUUCUUUAGCAGCUCUACUGAACAUUUUCUUAUCAAAGUACUCCAUUUCUUCUGGGGUCAGUAGAGCCAUCUUCCACACUUCAUCAUAUGUCCACUCAACGUUACAGUCGGGUUGGCCACACACAAAUCCGAUCUCCCCCUUGGGGUUUGAAAAGAAGGAAGAACUACGUUUAUAGAGGUUUUUUUUGCCACAUUUUAUUAUGAAUGUCAAUAUAAAAGAUGUAUUAACGCACUACCUGACUCAACAGAUGUUUACACCAGUUGGUGAGAGACAUGGGGGUGACGGUAUGCCCGCACGACAUCUUCGCUCUGAGAGACUUGAAGUCAUUGCGCUCAACUGUGAGACGCACAAAAACAGAUGUUACUGAGAAGUUUGAUAUAUCAGAAAGUAAAUGUCCGGUUCUUUGGCUACUUACAAUCAUGGUCGUCCUCUCCAUCGACAAAAAUAAGUGUGGUGUCCUUUGGGUCAUAACACUUCUCCUGCUCAGCUGUUGUAUUGUUGCUCUGUUGUACAGAAUCACCCCUUUGCUCAGUUGCUAAAUUGCUUAGUUGUUCAGCAAAAUUUCUCAGUUGCUCAGCAUCACUUAUGAGUUCAGUUGCUAAAUUCCUAAGACGACCAUAAUUUCCCCUUUCGUGUAAAGUGCCAAUAUUUCUCUGUCGUUCAAAAUCUCUCCUCCCUCUCUGUAAAGUGCCAAAAUUGCUCUGCUCAAUAGUUGAAUUGUUGCUCAGUUGUCCAGUUGCUAAAUUGCUUAGUUGUUCAGAAUCAAUCCCCUUCUGUCCAGUUGCCAAGUUGUUUUUUUGCCCAAACUGUUAAACACAUGAAGAAAUGAUUGUAGAAAAAAUGUCAAGGUUUACAUCACAUCUGUUGUUUUUAAUAUAGUUUAGCGUACACAGAUCUGUAUUAUAGGGCGAAUUACCGUAAACAGGUUUAAGUUGUGGGAAAUUCCAGAAACAGGAUAUUUUUGUUCCCACCACGAGCUCUUGUUGUGUUAAAUGUACUUGUACAAAGACAAAAUGUUAAUAAAGUUGUAGAAUAAGUGAUUUUAAAACAUUCGAUAAAUGUCAAUCUAGCACCCACUGAAAUGGCAGUGUUCUUUUGUCCAACCUUUCUUGACAACCUUGCAUGUCAAAUAUAUCAUAUUUACUUCUUUUUAUAUUUUUAUGUUCAUAUGUGUUUGGUAAAAAAAACUGCAGGUCACAUAGGUACACCAAAUGUGAGACCUGUCUUUGAC